rnacentral:rRNA from 1 species
AACGCGAAGAACCUUACCUGGGCUCGAAAUGGAGUGGACCGGAGUAGAAAUAUUCCUUCCCCGCAAGGGGCUGCUCUAUAGGUGCUGCAUGGCUGUCGUCAGCUCGUGUCGUGAGAUGUUGGGUUAAGUCCCGCAACGAGCGCAACCCUUAUUACCAGUUGCCAUCAUUCAGUUGGGCACUCCGGUGAGACCGCCUCGGAUAACGGGGAGGAAGGCGGGGAUGACGUCAAGUCCUCAUGGCCUUUAUGUCCAGGGCUACACACGUGCUACAAUGGUUGAUACAAACCGUCGCAAACCCGUGAGGGGGAGCUAAUCGGAAAAAGUCAACCUCAGUUCGGAUUGCAGUCUGCAACUCGACUGCAUGAAGCUGGAAUCGCUAGUAAUCGCGGAUCAGAACGCCGCGGUGAAUACGUUCCCGGGCCUUGUACACACCGGCUAC